UACGUAGGGUGCGAGCGUUAAUCGGAAUUACUGGGCGUAAAGCGUGCGCAGGCGGUGGCUCAAGCCAGGCGUGAAAUCCCCGGGCUUAACCUGGGAACUGCAUUUGUGACUGCAAGACUAGAGUGUGGCAGAGGGGGGUAGAAUUCCACGUGUAGCAGUGAAAUGCGUAGAUAUGUGGAGGAAUACCGAUGGCGAAGGCAGCCCCCUGGGUCAACACUGACGCUCAUGCACGAAAGCGUGGGGAGCAAACAGG
rnacentral:rRNA from 1 species